UUAAGCGUCUCUCGGUAGGCUUUCGGUCUCAUUCUUCCACAGAUUUCGGGUUCGGGCGCGCGUCGAGCACUAAAGGAUAGCAAAGAGUUCUCGUUACAAUGUGGUUUAAAUCAAAAGACCUUAUGGGUGGGAGGAUGGGACAAGACCUGUCCCUGUGUGGAUCAAGCAUUAUGGCGAUGCUCCAGCAUCUCAUCACCAAUCCUAAGGAAUUCAGCUACCUCCCAGGGUGAAUGCAGUGUUGCCUUUUUGCUCCUUCCAGCUUGUUCCUCUUGGAAUGAUAUUCCUGGGGAGGGAGAUGGCAGCCCAGCAAGCGGCACAGUUGGUUCUUGUGAUGGUGUGCUCUUCCCUCACCCACAUGUCACUGUCAGAUGAUUUGAAUGAUAAUGCUGAUUCUCUGUGAGGUUGUCCUCAUUGUGAUGUAUACAUCUGUCUUACAAUGCCUCUUGAUCUGCUCAGGGUCAAACUCCUGGAAAGAGUUGAGAAUCGAGCAGCUUGUUCCUUGUUCCUGUAUUACUCCUGGAAAGCCUCCCGAGUUGAAAGGUACCAUUGCCAGUUACCUGCUUCUUUGCUCAAAGGUCCAAUUCCUUGUCUGGAGCCUGAGAAUGAAUUGAGGUAAAUCUGUCAUCUGUGGCUACUAUAUAGAAUUUGCCAGGGUUUUUUGUGGCACUUUGGAUAGCUGUGCAGACAUUACUUGUUUAAUCCAAAGUUUGUCUUUGGCCAUUUGUGAACCACCUGUGACAGAUUUCCACUCACCAGUGAUGAGUUCAGUACCGCCCCAGUCUGAUCACUAUGACUGAAAGGUAUUUUCUGAGCUGUGAGUUUGCCUUGGAGUGAAAGGUGACAAUAGUGGGAAGUUGGGUGGGCUUUAUAGCCAAUAGGAAGCUUUGUGGACUAGGUGGUGGUUUCUAUCAAAAUGUCUGUUGAGACCUACAUAGAUGUGCCUUUUGUCUCGGGGUGGUUUAGAGACUUAGUUCCCAAUCGUUCUUUCGCAGGGGAAAGGAGUAAGCCAUAUUUCUGUUCAACUCCAGUCUGAAGCUAAGAGGUCUGAAGAAAGAACAAAGCACACAUAAUGGAGUCCAACUCUCAAAGGAUAUCAAAAAUGGAAUUUUCUUAUACAACCUACCUGUUCAAAUUAGCAUACAAUCAUUUUAGCCUUUCUAAAUAAAACUUUUUGUUUUUUUAAACCUUCA